UACGUAGGGGGCAAGCGUUGUCCGGAAUCAUUGGGCGUAAAGCGCGUGUAGGCGGCUCGGUAAGUCUGCUGUGAAAGUCCAGGGCUCAACCCUGGGAUGCCGGUGGAUACUGUCGAGCUCGAGUCCGGAAGAGGCGAGUGGAAUUCCUGGUGUAGCGGUGAAAUGCGCAGAUAUCAGGAGGAACACCAAUGGCGAAGGCAGCUCGCUGGGACGUGACUGACGCUGAGACGCGAAAGUGUGGGGAGCGAACAGG
rnacentral:rRNA from 1 species